UUGUCCUCCAAAUAUAUCCGGUGCGUGCAAAUUAAAGGGCUAAUCCCCUUCAAGUCUGCAAUAGACCACCCUAAAGCUCCUCUAUGAUUCUUUAGAACACCAAGUAAUUUUCUUUCUUGGGCAUGAUCAAGAUCAGAUGAGAUGAUUAUAGGAAAAGUGUCAUUGGAUCCAAGAAAGGCAUACUUGAGUUCCUUCGGUAAAGGUUUCAACUCGAGCUUAGGUGCUUGUUCAUGGGAUGGUACUAUCUUUGCUCCUCGAGAUGGC
rnacentral:lncRNA from 1 species